rnacentral:rRNA from 1 species
AUUGAACGCUGGCGGCAUGCCUUACACAUGCAAGUCGAACGGUAACAGGUCUUCGGAUGCUGACGAGUGGCGAACGGGUGAGUAAUACAUCGGAACGUGCCUAGUAGUGGGGGAUAACUACUCGAAAGAGUGGCUAAUACCGCAUGAGAUCUACGGAUGAAAGCAGGGGAUCGCAAGACCUUGUGCUACUAGAGCGGGCGAUGGCAGAUUAGUGAGUAGGUGGGAUAAAAGCUUACCAAGCCGACGAUCUGUAGCUGGUCUGAGAGGACGAUCAGCCACACUGGGACUGAGACACGGCCCAGACGCCUACGGGAGGCAGCAGUGGGGAAUUUUGGACAAUGGGCGCAAGCCUGAUCCAGCAAUGCCGCGUGCAGGAUGAAGGCCUUCGGGUUGUAAACUGCUUUUGUACGGAACGAAAAGCCCUGGGUUAAUACCCUGGGGUCAUGACGGUACCGUAAGAAUAAGCACCGGCUAACUACGUGCCAGCCGCCGCGGUAACAC